GAGGAGCACGCUAGUAAGCAGCAUCCUCCUGUGGCCACUGCAACAGCUCCUGCCUCCAGGUUGCUAGGCUGUGAGACCUCAAGUCAAAGUCAAUCCUAUGAUGAGUCAGACUGACAAGUUCUGCUAGAGGGAGAGAAAGAUGGCUCAAGAGCAGACUCAGAUCCCUGGAGAUGAUCAGAGGGUUUGCUGCUGGAAUUAAUGCUUGAUGGCUAUUUGUCUGAUGUAUCCACAUUACAGGAUGAGAUGUUCACAAGAAUAAUUCCUAGUGAUCCUGCUGCUGCUCGUGAGAUCUUUGCCAACAAGAGAGGUGAACUGUGCAGCACAUAGCUCAUUUCCAGUCUGACAAAUUAUCUGUCAAGAUAGGACCCCAGUCCAGUGUUUAAUUGUGCAUCAGGUUUAGGUGACAGAACUUUGAUAUGACAAAGAGGGGUUGGAGGAGAUAGCUUCCUUCUCUCCCCUAAGAACUAUGAUGUUGUGAAUGAAGACAUCUGGUAUGCUUGUCCAUGUCUAUGUCUGGGGUGAUAGAAGAGUCCAGUUGCUGCUGUGAACCAGAUACUGCAUAUCAGCAUCUGGGCUUUGAUCAUCUUGGAGAAAACUUGACUCUUCCUGAUGUAUUUGCGAGUAGACUUCCCAGUCUCCUCCAUCAGCCUUUAGAUGUGGAUUGUCAGGAGAGAUGUUUGAUUGCUUUUGUUCCUCUUUAAAAGAAUUUCAUUGUGGAUUGGCAUAUAAUAUUUGUAUACACUUAUGUGGUAAAAUGUGAUGGUUCUAAUUGGUACUUAAUACUGGGAAGUAUCAACACAACAUAGUUAUCCCAUUUUUCACCUUAGACUGUUAUCAUUUUCUUAUUGUCAGAACCUCAAAAAGCCCAUCUUUAGCCAUUUGUAGAUACACAAUGCAUUGUGGCUAAUUAUAUCCUCCCUACUGUGGUAGGGCUCACCAGAACCUACCGUACCUAACUAACAGUAACAUGAGCCAGCUCUGUCUCCCAAGUUCCUCUCUGCCCCAUCUCUGGUAGCCACUACACUGCUCUCAACUUCUUUGAAGUCUUACAUGUGAAUGAACUUGGGUAGUGUUUGCCUGUAUGAACAUGAAUUACUUCAAUCCACAUAAUGGCCUCUGAGUGUUUGCAUUAUAUUGCAAAUCACAAAAUGUCAUUCAAUUUAUAGCUGAAUAAUAUUCCAUAGCAUAUUCACCCAUUAUACCGGUUUCUACCUAUUUAUGAAUGGUGAACAUUUAGGAUAAUUCCAUUUCCUGCAUAUUUUUGUAUAGUAAAUAAGAGUAGAAGUUCAGACGUCUUUUGAUAUGGUGAGUUCAUUUUCUUUUAUACAUUCCCAGUGGUAGAAUUGUUGGUUCAUAUGAUAGCUUUGAUUUUAUGGGUUUGUUUGUUUAUUGGUUUGUUUAAGGAGUUUUGCUUUGAAAUAGUUGUAGAGUACUCUUCUCCAGGAGCCAAAGAACACUUAACCACAGCACCAAUACCAGACAUGAGGAGCCAUGUAUUUGAAGAAGGGAUAGGAAGGCUAUAUGGGAGGUUUUGGAGGGUGGAAAGAGAAGGGAGAAAUGUUGUAAUUAUAUUAUAAUCUAAAAAAUAAAAAAAUAAAGUUAAUAGAAGAGAAAAUUUUAGUUCCUUUUUUUUUUUCUUUUUUCAUCCUUACCAGGUAAUGCUCCUUGCUUAGUUACUUAGUUGGUAUAUGUGUGCAUGCAAGUGUGAAUGCAUAUGGAGGCUGGAGGUCACAGUCAAGUGUCUUCCUCAAGCUCUCUUCCACCUCACUGAACCUGGGGCUUCUGAUUUAGUUGGCGUGCCUGGCCAGUGAGUCCAGGGACCAUCCUCUUGUUACCUCCUGAGUAGUUGAACAGCUGCACCUGACUUUAAAGUUUUUCUUCAAAAAUUUUAAUUUAAUGUACUUUUGUUGUACUUUUAUUUAUUUAGUGUUUUGUUGUUACACCUGGCUAUUUAAGUGUUUUCUGGGGUUUUGAAUUCUUAUCUUUGUGGUUUUGUGUCAAACAUUUUACUGACUAAGCUACUUCCCAAGGAUCUUUCCCCCUUUUUCAUCAUAGCCAUCUCAACUAGACUGAGAUAUAAGCUCAUCAUUUUGAUCUUCAUUUUUAUAUUAUUCAAAACGAUGUUGAACAUUAUUUUUAUUCAUGUCUGUUGUUAUUUGACCAUCUCUUUGAAAAUAAAUGCUUAUUC
rnacentral:lncRNA from 1 species